AGAACAGAGACAGUCCACAUUUCUGAAGAGUUUAUAUGAUUAUUUGUCACUUAUAUGACCAUUUAAAAACUCCAUUACAGAAGUCCGGGUGAGAUACGCAGAGCUCCGGUGCAAGUUCAAAGAUAUUUAAUUUUUUCUGACUUUUGGCCUUCAUGCUUUUGGAUGGAGCUGAACAGGAAAGGGUUAAAAGGAUACCUGCAAAAUGUGAUCUAUUGCAGAAGUUCAACUCGCUGAAGAACUCACAGCAGAAUAUACGUCAGAUGAAGCUUGGGAAUUAUCUAUAAAUCUUUAAGAAUUUCAUUCACCCAAUGUUAACAGAAGGAUUUUAAUCUGUCAAGGUUAAAUCUGUGACCUGAUAGUUACAGUAUUCCAUUACAAAAACAAUUCAUGAUCUAAUAAAGUUCUGUGACGCUCUGAUACUUAUUACAGCCACUGUUUUUCAUUUUUCUUCUGUUAAUUCUUUUGACGCACUUGCAUACAUAAAAUGUUUAUUAAUUUGAAGACAUAAAACUAUCUAUCUACUAUUCUGUUACCAAACCCACAGAGAUUGAUCAGAAUCUGUUGAUUCACUGACAAUAUUUUAUGAGAAGUGAAUAAUUCUAAGUGCUAUGCUCAUGACAUUAGAGACAGGGUCAGUUAGUAUCAUUAAAUUCAGAUUGAUUGUAUGUGACACAGUAGAAUGAUGUCACAUUUACUCCUGUCACAGUUAGUUAUUUUUAAGCUCAUCAAAAUCUGUGUCACAGUUUCCUUAUUUUGUAUCCAACCUCAUUCCUAUUUCAUGUCUUUGAUUGUCUUAGGUGUUCAGUAAGUACAGUGAUAAAGGCUGCAUUUCAACUUUGUAACAUCCACUUAAGAAACUUAUCUGAGUUAUUGAUCACAUUUUUCUACCUGUUGCUGUGCAGAUUUUAGAGUUUUUUCUACCUGUUGUGAAAACUAUCAUAACCCCAUGUAAACACCUUUCGUUAAGAUCAGCGUGAAUAGUCACAGAUUCCUAAGUUCAUGAAAAAAGUAGAUAGGGAGCAUUUUUUUAGGACAUUUUGAUAUGGCUACUUGUUUUCUGCCUUUGAUUUUCCCUCUUUUUUUAAGCUAUCUGUAAUUCAUAGCAAACCAAGGGUAGCUGACCUCUUUCAUAGUUCCACAACGAUUUGCGGAUUUAUUCUUGUAGACAAACAAAACUGGGCGAGUAAUAGCAAGGGUAUUUACUGUACAUUAAUAAUGUCAUGGCUCCCGUGUGGAGAGUAAUCUUGUUUCUUUUCAUCUUUCUCCGUGUGUAUCUACUUUGUUUUCUUUUGAAAGCAAAAAUAAAAUUGUGGGAAAGUGCCUGAGACAUUG